CUCCCUUUGGAACCCCUCCCUUUAAUAUAGUUCAAUGUCAAAACAAAGACAAAAGUGGUCCAUCCAAUGGAUCAACCCCAGUUUGUGUAAAUGUGUAAA